rnacentral:rRNA from 1 species
GACGAACCACCCAAACGUUAUUCGGAAUUACUGGGCUUAAAGGGUGCGUAGGCGGCGUGGAAAGUUGGGUGUGAAAUCCCUCGGCUCAACCGAGGAACUGCGCUCAAAACUACCGUGCUCGAGGAAGACAGAGGUAAGCGGAACUUCGGGUGGAGCGGUGAAAUGCGUUGAUAUCCGAAGGAACACCGGUGGCGAAAGCGGCUUACUGGGUCUUUUCUGACGCUGAUGCACGAAAGCCAGGGGAGCAAACGGGAUUAGAUACCCCGGUAGUCCUGGCCGUAAACGAUGAGCACUUGGUUGGAGACUCCUCCAUAGGUUUCCGGCCGUAGCGAAAGUGUUAAGUGCUCCGCCUGGGGAGUAUGGCCGCAAGGCUGAA